ACUUUAGCGAUGACAAAGAGUAGUACGUAUUUUUAACCGUUUCAGAGAGUUUGUGGCUGGUGAAAACAAACACGGAAAAAUACCGAAUGGACUUUUGAGCUUCUUUCUGAACUUCCAAAAUGAUUAGUAGGAAAAGACGUUAACCUUGCGUUAAAAGGAUUCCUAGUCUAUCCAUUCUAGAUAGAUCUGGAUUGAGUGACUCUUUUGAGUAAUUAGGGUGGUACCGCGAACCAUUCGUCCCUAUC
rnacentral:ncRNA from 1 species